rnacentral:rRNA from 1 species
UGAGGAAUAUUGGUCAAUGGGCGCGAGCCUGAACCAGCCAAGUCGCGUGAGGGAUGACGGCCCUACGGGUUGUAAACCUCUUUUUGUCGGGGGAGCAAAUUCCGCCACGUGUGGCGGAGUCGAGAGUACCCGAAGAAAAAGCAUCGGCUAACUCCGUGCC